rnacentral:tRNA from 2 species
AGGGAAAUAAUUUAAUUGGUAAAAUACUAGUCUCCAAAAUUAGUUUUAAAGGUUCAAAUCCUUUUUUCCUUG